rnacentral:rRNA from 1 species
AUGAACCUAGCAAAGUACAUGGAUUUACAUUUCAAGCAGGAAAAGAUGCGCUUCAAAAGAAGAAAAGGUAUUGUAAAGCGACACACUUUAGUCAUUGUUGAUCACUCUUCAAUUCAUGUUUUCAGAUGCUUGCUCAGAAUAUAUGAUCAGUUUAGGAUGCGUAAUCAAGGAAGGUGGCCUUUUUCAAGAGCCAACUUACUCAUAUACCGUCCUUGUGAUUCAUCACAGCAAACAUGCAAGCACACAAUAGCUAUGAAAACUAUCAUACUCCUGCUACCAGUAAACCGAGCAAAGUACAUGGUUUACAUUUUCAUGCAAGAGAACAAAAAAGAAACAUUGAAGGGUGUUUGCUCAGAAAUUAAGAUCAGUUUAGGGUGUAUAAUCAAGGAAGGUGGCCUUUUGCAAGAGCCAGCUUACUCAUAUACCGUCCUUGCGAUUCAUCAUAGCAAACAUGCAAGCACACAAUAG